AGAGUUUGAUCCUGGCUCAGGAUGAACGCUGGCGGCGUGCCUAACACAUGCAAGUCGAACGGGCGCGGCGUGCGGCAGGGGCCUCGGCCCCUGCGGCGCCGCGCGAGUGGCGGACGGGUGAGUAACGCGUGGGCAACCUGCCCUGUACUGGGGGAUAACACCUGGAAAUAGGUGCUAAUACCGCAUAAGCGCGGCGUGCCGCAUGGCAUGGCGCGGAAAACCCCGGUGGUACAGGAUGGGCCCGCGUCUGAUUAGCUGGUUGGCAGGGUAACGGCCUACCAAGGCGACGAUCAGUAGCCGGCCUGAGAGGGUGGACGGCCACACUGGGACUGAGACACGGCCCAGACUCCUACGGGAGGCAGCAGGUGGGGGAUAUUGCACAAUGGGGGGAACCCUGAUGCAGCGACGCCGCGUGGGUGAAGGAGCGUUUCGGCGCGUAAAGCCCUAUCGGCAGGGAAGAAGAUGACGGUACCUGACCAAGAAGCCCCGGCUAACUACGUG
rnacentral:rRNA from 1 species